CUUUCCCUGAAGUGUUUGUGAUGCGGACUCACCGCGGCCUCACAAGCAUAAAACCGGGAGCUUAGUCGAAGACUGGUGUGCACGCCCUUUACGGGCGUACCUAAAGGUCUUGCAAGGCUUCCACCGUAGGAUUCAGGUCCUGCGGAGCAGUUUGCACACGGCACUUCGGGGUGGCA
rnacentral:other from 1 species